rnacentral:rRNA from 1 species
GGAGAGUUUGAUCCUGGCUCAGGACGAACGCUGGCGGCGUGCUUAACACAUGCAAGUCGAACGAUGAAGCCCUUCGGGGUGGAUUAGUGGCGAACGGGUGAGUAACACGUGGGCAAUCUGCCCUGCACUCUGGGACAAGCCCUGGAAACGGGGUCUAAUACCGGAUACGAGCUUCCCGGGCAUCUGGGAGGUUGGAAAGCUCCGGCGGUGCAGGAUGAGCCCGCGGCCUAUCAGCUUGUUGGUGAGGUAACGGCUCACCAAGGCGACGACGGGUAGCCGGCCUGAGAGGGCGACCGGCCACACUGGGACUGAGACACGGCCCAGACUCCUACGGGAGGCAGCAGUGGGGAAUAUUGCACAAUGGGCGCAAGCCUGAUGCAGCGACGCCGCGUGAGGGAUGACGGCCUUUCGGGUUGUAAACCUCUUUUCAGCAGGGAACACGCGCAAGUGACUGUCC